GGUUCCGUGGUCUAGUUGGUUACGACGUCUGCUUCACAGCAAAGCGAUUCCUUGCAAUCGCAGAAGGUCCUGGGUUCGAGCCCCAGCGGAAUCA
rfam:Sporothrix schenckii ATCC 58251 unplaced genomic scaffold supercont1.3, whole genome shotgun sequence.